rnacentral:sRNA from 1 species
GUUUAAAGAACUUAGGCUUUGCCACGUCCUGUGGCAAAGCCUAAGUAACCAACAGGGAGG